rnacentral:rRNA from 1 species
UUCCAGACUCCUACGGGAGGCAGCAGUGAGGAAUAUUGGUCAAUGGGCGCGAGCCUGAACCAGCCAAGUAGCGUGAAGGAUGACUGCCCUACGGGUUGUAAACUUCUUUUAUAAAGGAAUAAAGUGAGGCACGUGUGCCUUUUUGUAUGUACUUUAUGAAUAAGGAUCGGCUAACUCCGUGCCAGCAGCCGCGGUAAUACGGAGGAUCCGAGCGUUAUCCGGAUUUAUUGGGUUUAAAGGGUGCGUAGGCGGGCUUUUAAGUCAGCGGUAAAAAUUCGGGGCUCAACCCCGUCCGGCCGUUGAAACUGGGGGCCUUGAGUGGGCGAGAAGAAGGCGGAAUGCGUGGUGUAGCGGUGAAAUGCAUAGAUAUCACGCAGAACCCCGAUUGCGAAGGCAGCCUUCCGGCGCCCUACUGACGCUGAGGCACGAAAGCGUGGGUAUCGAACAGGAUUAGAUACCCGAGUA